ACUUGGGCCUCUGGUAUUGCUUGUGCCUAAUCCUGGUUGUACUAUUUUCGUCUUAAGACUUGGCGUGUCUGAUAAAGUAUAUAAUUUGACCUAGGCUUCUCGAGGCCAGAAAAGCCAAGCCAACAACUUACAAUCAGACUUUGUUUGCAAUACCUACAGAUAUGAGUGAAUUCCUCCUUUCUCAAGGUCCCUAAAAUAUGCUGAGGCCUGCAUCUGCUAGGAAGAUGCAAGGAAAAGCAAACCACACAGAAGAACUGCACACUGCAAUGAAGUUGGAAUGCAAGUCUUCAUCAGAAAGGAGGGAACAAACUUUGGAUAAUACAACCACAAAAUAUGUGAACCGCAAACAAGUAUAAACACACAGAUGAGGAAACUCAGAUGGAAGAACCGUCUUGCCCAAAGCCACCAAGCUUCUAAGCUGGAACACAAACCCUGGUUUCUCUGCUGCCAGAGCCCUGUGUUCUUAACAGGAAAAGAAGGCAGAUGCUGGCCAAUGAGACCUGGCCAAUGAGAACGUCGCAACGGCAGGCGGCCUCUAUUGGCAGUGGAGAAAUUGAUCAGAUGCCAUUUUUCACACACAAAAAGAAACUAUUCUAGGUACCACCCGUUGAAAUUUGUGCUACGCUGGAGGAAGAAGUCUGACAGUUUCCUACAAGUUGCCCAGCUAUUUCGGGGGAUUUAUUUAUCACCGCGUUGGUCUCAUUUUCUCAAGGACGUGCCCGUUAAGAAAGCAGGCUGUGUGGAGUAGUGGAAAGGGUGCAGGAAUGAGAGUUAGGAGAGAGCUGGCCUCUGUUGCUUGCUUACAUACCCCUGCCUCUGACCAGAACAUCCCACCUCUGGGGGCUUCACAUGCUUUAUUUGUAUAAUGAAGGUCUGGAUGUGAUGUCUUGGAUUCCUUCUGGGUUCCCAAGACUAAAGGCAACAAGCUAGUUUGAUCACAUGCCUCAGUCACUAAAACAAAUUUGAAUAUCUGUCCAGAUGUGUGUGUGUGUGUGUGUGUGUGUGUAUACAUGUAAUGCUUUAUAACUAUAUUAUAAACUUACAAAAUAUAUAAAAUACAAAUUAAAAAGGAGAUAUAUGUAAAUUCUAACAUUUUCUCUCCAAACUGUAAUAGUUUAUCUUAAAUACAGCUGGGGCAAGCUCAUACCUCUUUGGAAAUGUGCUUUAAGGCACAUUUCAGCUCUGUUUUUGUGAUGGGUGUAAGAUAUUAGUCCUAAAUCGCCAUUUCCACAUUGGCUAGGGAAGAGCAUAAAUCUGUCAAACCUGCAGAUUGCAUACCUUUUGAUUGCAUAUUAAACACGUGAGACAAUUUUUUUUUUAACAUACCAUCUUCUUGGUUAAUCCUGUUAUAACAAUUUUAAAACAGAAUAGUUACAGAGAAAUUUCUUUACUGCGGAAAAUAACAGUGGAAGCUAGUUAUAAACAGCAACUGACUUUUCAUCUUGAGUCAGGGAAAUGUUUGGGAGCUGCAGGGGUUGGGGAAGUCUGCAGCGUGAAUGCCUUGUCCAAGGACGGAAGCUGCCUUUCAGCUCCAGUGGGCUGUCGUC